CAAGGUAUCUGUAGGUGAACCUGCAGAUGGAUCAU
rnacentral:rRNA from 1 species